rnacentral:tmRNA from 1 species
GAGUUUGCAUCCGGCGUUCGGGUCACCUAUAUAGGGGGUGCCCGUAAGGGCUAUGGCGAUAAACGGUCAUUGUAAUAAACCCAUCGGACCCGGGGGCGGUACCCGGCGUCUCCACCAUCUACCCCUCGCGGAUCGACGAGGGCGUAAAGAGUGUGCUUUUGCUCGGUGAGGUACCACCGUUAUCGGUCCGAAACUUAUAGUUGCUAAUGACAACAAUAAGGCUCCGGUUGCUCUCGCUGCGUAAUGCGGUGCUAGCACUGGGAAUUUAAGUCCUCCGCCCCUAGCCGGGCGACAGGCGGGGUUCGCAGGCACCUGGCAACAGAAGCCUGCACU